UAAAAGAAAAUGGAAAUUUUAAGGCAUUUUGUGUUAAAUGCCUAAUUUUGCCGAAAUGGGGAAUUUUAUUCCAUGAAUGGACCUUAGGUUAAAUUUUAUUAUGUGAUUAAUUAAAUUAAAUGUGAGAGACAUUAAAUUUAAUUAAUUAAUGUUAAGUUUGGUGAUUAAAACUUAAUAAGAGUGAAAAAAGGUGUCAAAAGCCAAUUUGGACUUUUCUUCUUAUGAAACCUUUAUUAACCUUUAUAAAAAAAAAAAAAAAAAAAAAAAAUUAAUGAUCACAUAUAUGGAAAAGGGUGGCCGACCAUGUGCUAUUUUAGAGUGGUGUGAACCCAAUUUUAUAAAGUUUAACUCCCAUUUAAUUAAGAAGUCAAGUGGGCAAGUGGGUAGAAAAGCACUCAAGUGUUUUGUGAUAUUUUGAAGAGUUGUGUGAGCCAUUCUAACCCCCAAAUCCGACCACUCUCCCUUCCUCAUUCACUCUCAUCUGAUUUUUGAAGACUCUCUCAAGUGUUCUCUCCAUUUUCAACCCCAUGAACACCAAAGAAACUUGGAAGCUAAGUCUUGGUCUAGGAAGGGUUUUCCCUAAGUUGGUUAGGGUUUUUGAAAGGUUUUGGAGGAGCCAAAGCUAAUAGGAAGGUCCAAACCUUAAGCAAGAACACCAAAGAGUACUGGCUAAGCGUAACUGGAUUGAACGUUGGAGGGUGAAAACCUGCUGAGCGCUAAGGACUCCAAGUAAGAGCAAGGGCAAGGCAGAGCAGUGAGCGCUGGAGUCUUCCUUGCAAAUGUACAUGUGGACCGACCUUUUGGGAAGCCUUUUUAUUUUUGGAAAUGUUGUGUAAUUUUCCUAAACUAGGCUCACUCUAAUUUUUAUAAAACAUGUUUGUAACUAAAUGUUAAGUAUGGCCAUACGACUUUUUAAAAAGUUUUUUUUUCUAUGGG